UGCAAGUCGAGCGGUAGAGAGAAGCUUGCUUCUCUUGAGAGCGGCGGACGGGUGAGUAAUGCCUAGGAAUCUGCCUGGUAGUGGGGGAUAACGCUCGGAAACGGACGCUAAUACCGCAUACGUCCUACGGGAGAAAGCAGGGGACCUUCGGGCCUUGCGCUAUCAGAUGAGCCUAGGUCGGAUUAGCUAGUUGGUGAGGUAAUGGCUCACCAAGGCGACGAUCCGUAACUGGUCUGAGAGGAUGAUCAGUCACACUGGAACUGAGACACGGUCCAGACUCCUACGGGAGGCAGCAGUGGGGAAUAUUGGACAAUGGGCGAAAGCCUGAUCCAGCCAUGCCGCGUGUGUGAAGAAGGUCUUCGGAUUGUAAAGCACUUUAAGUUGGGAGGAAGGGCAGUUACCUAAUACGUAUCUGUUUUGACGUUACCGACAGAAUAAGCACCGGCUAACUCUGUGCCAGCAGCCGCGGUAAUACAGAGGGUGCAAGCGUUAAUCGGAAUUACUGGGCGUAAAGCGCGCGUAGGUGGUUUGUUAAGUUGGAUGUGAAAUCCCCGGGCUCAACCUGGGAACUGCAUUCAAAACUGACAAGCUAGAGUAUGGUAGAGGGUGGUGGAAUUUCCUGUGUAGCGGUGAAAUGCGUA
rnacentral:rRNA from 1 species